rnacentral:rRNA from 1 species
GACAGAGGCCUCGAGCGUUAGGCGGAAUCACUGGGCUUAAAGCGUGUGUAGGCGGGCCCGUAAGUGUCUUGUGAAAUCCCACGGCUCAACCGUGGAACUGCUCGGUAUACUGCUUAUCUUGAGCCACUUAGGGGCAGUCGGAACAGAUGGUGGAGCGGUGAAAUGCGUAGAUAUCAUCUGGAACGCCAACGGUGAAAACAGACUGCUGGGAGUGAUGCUGACGCUGAGACACGAAAGCUAGGGGAGCGAACGGG